rnacentral:sRNA from 1 species
CAAACACAGAUAAGGGCAGGUGGCCUUCUUCCCUCAGAGACCCACAACUGCCUGCCACUUCCUGUGGGGGAGGAACUGAACUCCUUCAAGGAUCUUGCUUCUGGAACCCCACUUGUGUGACACUAUCUAUGGGCCAUCCCUCUCUCUGCUCAGAUAUGGGCAGUUCAGGGGACAUGUUUGCUGUGCCUGAGCCCACCCUCAUAUCCAUAUGGUACCCUAUGACAGCUGCAUCGGAGGCCAAAGAUACAAGUUCUCAUGAGGGUGUUGUGGAGCCUGGAAGCCCAAGCCUGACUCCUUGUGAUUGGAGCAUCAAAAGGACGAACAUGCCAAAGCUGAUUGCUGCAGCUCAAUUGUGUCCACCAAGGAGGUGGUGCCUCUGAGAGGGAAUGGAGUUGGGAGAAAUCUGUUCUCCUGAAUAGGACACGCCAGUAUCUCAGGUCUGAUGAGGUCAUGAAAAUCCUAAGAUCAUCAGAAAUUCUGUUUGAAGAUAACAGAUGAGACCAGCUUAACACUGAGCCAUCUGGAGCAGGAGGUAGAAGAAAAAGCAGAUACUCACAUCCUGUUCUUAUUUAAAAUUGUGACAUUUUGGCUCAUUAUGGAAUCUCUUGUACUCAGACUUUUCUCUAAUAAAAUGUUAUAAUGAUAUAUUAUUUGUCACGACGAUUGAAUUUUUUCUGUCCUCCAAAAAUCUGCAGCCACAAUGAGUGAGGCAGCCUCGUCUUAUCACUGAACUGGACAAACACAUUUAGCUCUAUUCUUUCUAGAAACCCACUCCAUUAAAAAAAAAAAAACCCCAAAUAGUAACUGUAAAUACAAGCAGAAGAGGAAAAGCUAGAUAGGCCGCAUCUGACUGGAAGCAUGUUUUCUGAGAGGGUGAUCUGAAUGCAGAGCACAGCUGAGGGAGGGUAUACAAGCAGGAGUGUAAGAGGCGGUUACUGGUAAACCUGUGGUUACUGGUAAACCUGUGGGAGGAAGUGGGUUGAACACGCCCCUGGGGGCUCUGUGCUGAAAUCCUGCCGUGUGAUGGACGGAGCCUUUAAGUGAUUGGAUCCCAGUAAAAGGUAAUCAGUUCAUCAGGACCAUUGGAUGAUAUCAGAGUUCUCAUAUGACCCCAGUUAGUUACCUCCAAAGUGGGUGGUUCUGGAACUCUACGCCAGCCCCCAAGCCCCUCUCUGGCCCCCUGUCCUGCCGUAUGCUCUCCUCUUUUCACGGGAGCUCCCGUUCACAUGCAACCCAGGAAGGUGGCCCUCAGAGGUGAGUAGAUGUUGGUGCUCUGUUCUUGAACCUCCAAACUUUAUAAAUUAUGCAUUUCCAGGUAUUUUAUUGCAGUAAACACUUAGUAGACUUAAUACAAUGGUGCUGCAUUCAAUCUCCUUCUCAUUUUAGGCUGAGGGCCCUGAAAACUAGCCACAGGCUUUCCAAGCAGGAGAUGGGAAGUGUUUUACAAGAAAAUAUCAAUAAAAGAUGAUACCGACCCAGGGACUCCUUAGAAGACAACAUGUGUCCAGUUCCACAGAGCUUCUAAUCACCCCACUGUAAACAGUGGCCCACGGUGCCAACCACUUAGAUCGUGUUCAGAAGGGAGCAUCUCAUAUCGAUGAUGGGCACAGGCAACAGUUUCUGUUUGCUUUUGUUGUUUGUUUGUUUGUUUUAGUGUGCCUUGUAGAAACAGAAGCUUCUUACACUGAAGACUAGAACAGCAGUAACUCAGAAAGGUGAGAGAAGCCCGUGUGUCCAUGAAGUAAGAAGGGUGUGCUGUUGGCCACAGUUUGAAAGGGGCCGUAUUCCCCAAAGGGGGUGUCUCUCGGGUGGUGCUGUUGUGAGAUGCUAUGGACCUUUAAGAGUUGGAGCAAGGACUGGAUUGAUGGCUUAAUGAUUUAGACACUGAUUAACCUGGGUUCAAGUCCCAGC